UACCCCUAGCAAAUCUCAAAAAACCGAUCGUAGUCCAGAUUGGAGUCUGCAACUCGACUCCAUGAAGUCGGAAUCGCUAGUAAUCGCGGAUCAGAAUGCCGCGGUGAAUACGUUCCCGGGCCUUGUACACACCGCCCGUCACACCAUGGGAGUCUAUUGCACCAGAAGUAGCUAGCUUAACCUUCGGGAGGGCGGUUACCACGGUGUGGUCAGCGACGGGGGAAG
rnacentral:rRNA from 1 species